rnacentral:rRNA from 1 species
UACGUAGGUGGCAAGCGUUGUCCGGAUUUUUUGGGUUUAAAGGGUGCGUAGGUGGUCUAUUAAGUCAGUGCUGAAAUAUCCCGGCUUAACCGGGAGGGUGGCAUUGAUACUGAUGGACUUGAGUGGAGUUGAGGUAGGCGGAAUUGACGGUGUAGCGGUGAAAUGCUUAGAUAUCGUCAAGAACACCGAUAGCGAAGGCAGCUUACCAAGCUCUAACUGACACUGAUGCACGAAAGUGUGGGGAUCAAACAGG